CCUACGGGAGGCAGCAGUGAGGAAUAUUGGUCAAUGGGCGUAAGCCUGAACCAGCCAAGUCGCGUGAGGGAUGAAGGUUCUAUGGAUCGUAAACCUCUUUUAUCAGGGAAUAAAGUGUGGGACGUGUCCUGUUUUGUAUGUACCUUAUGCAUAAGGAUCGGCUAACUCCGUGCCAGCAGCCGCGGUAAUACGGAGGGUCCGAGCGUUAUCCGGGUUUAUUGGGUUUAAAGGGUGCGUAGGCGGCCUUUUAAGUCAGCGGUGAAAGUUUGGGGCUCAACCAUAGAAUUGCCGUUGAAACUGGGAGGCUUGAGUAUGUUUGAGGCAGGCGGAAUGCGUGGUGUAGCGGUGAAAUGCUUAGAUAUCACGCAGAACCCCGAUUGCGAAGGCAGCCUGCCAAGCCAUGACUGACGCUGAUGCACGAAAGCGUGGGGAUCAAACAGGAUUAGAUACCCCUGUAGUC
rnacentral:rRNA from 1 species